rnacentral:rRNA from 1 species
UGGGGAAUAUUGCACAAUGGAGGGAACUCUGAUGCAGCGACGCCGCGUGAACGAAGAAGGCUUUCGAGUCGUAAAGUUCUUUUAUAUGGGAAGAUAAUGACGGUACCAUAAGAAAAAGCCCCGGCUAACUACGUGCCAGCAGCCGCGGUAAUACGUAGGGGGCUAGCGUUGUCCGGAAUCACUGGGCGUAAAGGGUUCGCAGGCGGAAAUGCAAGUCAGGUGUAAAAGGCAGUAGCUUAACUACUGUAAGCAUUUGAAACUGCAUAUCUUGAGAAGGGGAGAGGUAAGUGGAAUUUUUAGUGUAGCGGUGAAAUGCGUAGAUAUUAAAAAGAAUACCCGUGGCGAAGGCGACUUACUGGGCUCAUUCUGACGCUGAGGAACGAAAGCGUGGGUAGCAAACAGG